GGGGGUGUAGCUCAGUUGGUAGAGUGCUGGCCUCGCAAGAGCAAAGCCCCGGGUUCAAUUCCCAGCACCACAG
rnacentral:tRNA from 1 species